rnacentral:lncRNA from 1 species
UCUAUACUCCUGAAAAUUCCCCCAAAAUACCAGUUGUUAGAGACCCUGGAUUGUCACACCUUAACAAUCCAUUGCUUGGUGAGUUAAGGGCUAAAAUGAAGAAGGGGGAACCUAGCCAGAAGCAAGGCCAUAGCAAUGGUAAACCCCUUGUUUCAAAUAGCUUGACUUCCAAGACCUUCCUUAAACAUGACCAGGGUGCUGCCUGAAAGAACAUGGCAGUUUCCCAGGUCCUGCAUGUCCACCUGGACAACACACAGAGCAUGAAGCAUGGGCAGGGACUCUGGGUCCCUAAGCUUGACUUCCACAAAGGCCAAGAUAAGAACUGCCCAGCAACUGCUAAGACAAUGACCCCUCCAGGACUCAAAACACACGAGUUUGGUGGAGGGGAUGCAGGGUUGGGCACAUGCCAACCCAGAAGGAGGAGCCACCACCCUCAAGACAGGACAUUAGAGCAGACACUUGGGAGCAAGUCCUGCUCAGCCCAGUCACUGAAGGGACCAGCUCCUCCUGAAAGCCUCAGAAACCAGAUGAAGUACUUUUUUCAAUGGCUUUAUCCUAAUAUAAAAGGCAAGAAUGUUCCCUGGAAAAGUGCAGCUCCCCAUCAUCACCUGUGCAGGGCAGAGGCCUAGUCCCAAGGAGAGCUGCCUUUAUUGGGAAUACUGACAACCCCAGAAUCAUGAGAGACAGUGAAAAGGUCCUGGUGGAGAAACAUGGGCACCAGCAUGGAAUCAAUGUCACCUGCCCCCAAGAGCCACAUUUGUCCCCUGUUAAGUCUGGAACACUCAGCCCAAGGCAGGACUGGAGGUCCAGGCAGAGUUUGUCCAGGCGCAUCCCUUCAAUUACAAGGCUCCUUGCUCUAAAGUAACAAGGAUCAACUCCAUGCCCCACAGGGAUCCAAAGAGUUAUUCAAGUCUCACCUGUGGGCAUCAAGUGGGCCAGUUGUCUCUGGUUGCCCCUUUCUGUGCUAAAGCCAUUUUGGUUAUUAUUCCC